rfam:Schistosoma margrebowiei strain Zambia genome assembly, scaffold: SMRZ_contig0001924
AUCCAGCUGAUGAGUCGCAAAUAGGAUUAAACGUUCGUCCUGGAU